rnacentral:rRNA from 1 species
UACGUAGGGGGCAAGCGUUGUCCGGAAUCAUUGGGCGUAAAGAGCGUGUAGGCGGUCCGGUAAGUCAGCUGUGAAAGUCAAGGGCUCAACCCUUGAAUGCCGGUUGAUACUGUCGGGCUAGAGUCCGGAAGAGGCGAGUGGAAUUCUCGGUGUAGCGGUGAAAUGCGUAGAUAUCGAGAGGAACACCUGCGGCGAAGGCGGGUUGCUGGGCCGACACUGACGCUGAGGCGCGAAAGCGUGGGGAGCGAACAGG